UACGGAGGGUGCAAGCGUUAUCCGGAUUCACUGGGUUUAAAGGGUGCGUAGGAGGGUAGGUAAGUCAGUGGUGAAAUCUUCGAGCUUAACUCGGAAACUGCCGUUGAUACUAUCUAUCUUGAAUACCGUGGAGGUGAGCGGAAUAUGUCAUGUAGCGGUGAAAUGCUUAGAUAUGACAUAGAACACCAAUUGCGAAGGCAGCUCGCUACACGAAUAUUGACACUGAUGCACGAAAGCGUGGGGAUCAAACAGG
rnacentral:rRNA from 1 species